GGGGCUGAUUAUGGAUUCGACGGGAUUUGCGAAACCCAAGGUGCAUGCCGAGGGGCGGUUGGCCUCGUAAAAAGCCGCAAAAAAUAGUCGCAAACGACGAAAACUACGCUUUAGCAGCUUAAUAACCUGCUUAGAGCCCUCUCUCCCUAGCCUCCGCUCUUAGGACGGGGAUCAAGAGAGGUCAAACCCAAAAGAGAUCGCGUGGAAGCCCUGCCUGGGGUUGAAGCGUUAAAACUUAAUCAGGCUAGUUUGUUAGUGGCGUGUCCGUCCGCAGCUGGCAAGCGAAUGUAAAGACUGACUAAGCAUGUAGUACCGAGGAUGUAGGAAUUUCGGACGCGGGUUCAACUCCCGCCAGCUCCACCA
rnacentral:tmRNA from 1 species